rnacentral:rRNA from 1 species
UACGUAGGUCCCGAACGGUGCGCGAAUUUACUGGGCGUAAAGGGUCCGUAGGCGGUUUAGGAAGUGGUUGGUGAAAUUUCACGGCUCAACCGUGAAACUGCCUUCCAAACUGCUAAACUUGAGGCAGGGAGAGGUCGGCGGAAUUCCCGGUGUAGCGGUGAAAUGCGUAGAUAUCGGGAGGAACGCCAGUGGCGAAGGCGGCCGACUGGAACUGUCCUGACGCUGAGGGACGAAAGCUAGGGGAGCAAACCGG